AUGCACCUCGCCUAUCUCAUCCUCAUCGUCAUCCUGGGACAGCUCCUGGGCACCUCAGGGCAAACCACGGUCACCCAGGAAGAUGGAGCAGUCACGGUGAAGGAGGGACACCCCUUCCACACCACCUGCAAAUACCAGAUCAGUAAUUUUGGGGGAUUAAUCUGGUACCAGCUACAGAAAGGCCAAGGCCCACAGCUGAUCUCCUAUCAAGCAGGGCCUGGCCCCAAGCACAGCGGCCGUUUCACCACGCACCUGAACACCACGGGGAAAUACAGUGUCCUGCAGGUGCAGCAAGUGGAGCUCUCUGACACUGCCUUUCUCUAA